UACGUAGGGUGCAAGCGUUUAAUCGGAAUUACUGGGCGUAAAGCGUGCGCAGGCGGCUAUGCAAGACAGAUGUGAAAUCCCCGGGCUCAACCUGGGAACUGCAUUUGUGACUGCAUAGCUAGAGUACGGUAGAGGGGGAUGGAAUUCCGCGUGUAGCAGUGAAAUGCGUAGAUAUGCGGAGGAACACCGAUGGCGAAGGCAAUCCCCUGGACCUGUACUGACGCUCAUGCACGAAAAGCGUGGGGACAAACAGG
rnacentral:rRNA from 1 species